rnacentral:rRNA from 1 species
CACCAAGGCGACGAUCAGUAGCCGGACUGAGAGGGUGAUCGGCCACAUUGGGACUGAGACACGGCUCAAACUCCUACGGGAGGCAGCAGUAGGGAAUCUUCGGCAAUGGACGCAAGUCUGACCGAGCAACGCCGCGUGAGUGAAGAAGGUUUUCGGAUCGUAAAACUCUGUUGUUAGAGAAGAACAAGGAUGAGAGUGGAAAGUUCAUCCCUUGACGGUAUCUAACCAGAAAGCCACGGCUAACUAC